rnacentral:rRNA from 1 species
GAAUUCGAUUCAGGCCUAACACAUGCAAGUCGAACGAUGAAGCUGGAGCUUGCUCCGGUGGAUUAGUGGCGAACGGGUGAGUAACACGUGAGCAAUCUGCCCUGUGACUCUGGGAUAACUGCGGGAAACUGUAGCUAAUGCCGGAUACGACGCCUUGGGGCAUCCCAGGGCGUGGAAAGAAUUUCGGUCAAGGAUGAGCUCGCGGCCUAUCAGCUAGUUGGUGAGGUAACGGCUCACCAAGGCGACGACGGGUAGCCGGCCUGAGAGGGUGACCGGCCACACUGGAACUGAGACACGGUCCAGACUCCUACGGGAGGCAGCAGUGGGGAAUAUUGCACAAUGAGGGCAAGCCUGAUGCAGCAACGCCGCGUGAGGGAUGAAAGACGUUCGGGUUGUAAACCUCUUUAGCAGGGAAGAAGCGAAA